GGGAAACUUAAAAACAGGUAUGGAUGGAUCACAUCGACAGAGAUAGAAAGAAGAGAAUGCACUUGAUCACUUCCAGUUGUUGGCGACAAUAUCAGCCAAGUCAACAACUCUUUGUGAGUAACCCCAUUCGUUAUCGUACCAAGCAAUGACCUUGACCAUGUCAUCUCCCAUGACCAUGGUCAAUGAGGAGUCAACUGUUGACGAUACAUCUGUGCACCUGAAGUCGACAGAAACAAGGGGCUCAUCACAAACAGAAAGGAUACCUGCCAGCUCCUUAUCAGCACUCUCUCUGAACGCAGCAUUGACCUCCUCUGCAAAGGUCUUCUUAGUGACUUGGACAACAAGGUCGACAACGGAGACAUUGGGGGUGGGCACACGUAGGGCAAUGCCAUUUAGCUUUCCUUUGAGAGAUGGAAGGACUAGAGCAACGGCCUUUGCUGCACCAGUGGAAGUGGGAACUAUGUUGAGAGCAGCAGCUCGUGCACGCCUGAGGUCACGGUGGCUGGCAUCAAGUAGCCUCUGGUCACCAGUGUAUGAGUGUGUGGUAGUCAUGGUGCCCUUGAUGAUGCCAAACUUCUGGUCAAGAACCUUGACGAAGGGGGCAAGGCAGUUGGUAGUGCAAGAAGCAUUGCUAAUGAUGGUAUCAUCAUGACUGUAGAGUUCAGCAUUAACCCCGACCACAUAGGUAGGGAUGUCACCCUUUCCAGGGGCAGUGAUGAGCACCUUCUUGGCCCCUGCCUCUAUGUGCUUCCCGGCACCCUCCCUAUCAACAAACACACCAGUACCUUCAAUCACCAGGUCGAUCCCCAUGUCCCUGCAUUCAUUCAUUGAAUCAAAUCAUUGUAUUAAUUAUAUAUUCUUAAUCUAAAAUAUAUGUGCAGUCUGUGAAUGCAGUGGCAACUUACUUCCAUGGUAGGUUGAGGGGAUUGCGGCUUGACACAACCUUGAUGACCUUGCCGUCAACAGAGAUGCCAUCAUCGCCAACUGGCUUGACCUCAGCGUCGAAGAUCCCAAGGGUAGAGUCGUACUUGAGGAGGUGAGACGCCUGUUUCACGCCUCCGGUGUCGUUGAUGGCAAUCACAUCAAGGGGCGAGUCUUUGCGCCCAUGCCAGCAC
rnacentral:lncRNA from 1 species